UCCUCUGUGUCUUUCAGUCCAGCAGUCGGCUGACCUGAUUUCUCCAAACCUGCGAAAUACUAGAGUCCUGCCCUCAUGAUACCCCUUCAGUCUGACACUAAAUAGCCACAUAGUUUCAGAGUGAGUAACUGCAGGGAGAAACGGAUCCAUAAAUGUGUCAAAUAGCACAUUCCUGGACUGCUGCAUUGUUGGGGGACUUUCCUGGCGGGGUAAUUACACAUGAAGCAUGUUCACGGCGGUCACUUCCAACUUUUCAGCAUUGCUUCUGGAUUUU